GAACCUUACCAAAUCUUGACAUCCUCUGAUCCCUCUAGAGAUAGAGGUUUCCCCUUCGGGGGACAGAGUGACAGGUGGUGCAUGGUUGUCGUCAGCUCGUGUCGUGAGAUGUUGGGUUAAGUCCCGCAACGAGCGCAACCCUUAAGCUUAGUUGCCAUCAUUAAGUUGGGCACUCUAAGUUGACUGCCGGUGACAAACCGGAGGAAGGUGGGGAUGACGUCAAAUCAUCAUGCCCCUUAUGAUUUGGGCUACACACGUGCUACAAUGGACAAUACAAAGGGCAGCGAAACCGCGAGGUCAAGCAAAUCCCAUAAAGUUGUUCUCAGUUCGGAUUGUAGUCUGCAACUCGACUAUAUGAAGCUGGAAUCGCUAGUAAUCGUAGAUCAGCAUGCUACGGUGAAUACGUUCCCGGGUCUUGUACACA
rnacentral:rRNA from 1 species